CAGAGCACGAUCAAUGGGUAGAUGAGCAGAAAGGCUGAUUUCAGCUCAAAUGAAGGGAAAACCUAGCCAGCCAGGCUGCCCAGCACAGCAGAGGCAUGGCCGUCAUGGUGCAUGAGUUCUGCAGCCUAAAACAGAUCUAUUUCUCCAUCAAAUGGAGGUGAGCGCCCCAGGUCCUUUCCACUCAGCAUUCACAUGACUAGGCUGGGGCAGUGAUCACUGUCUCUUAGAUGUCCAGCCGUGUCCUGUGGCUCCCAAGUGUUACCUAAAAGUUCUUUAAAUGGACGGUGAUCCUCCCAAGAGAAGGGCCAUCUUACCAGUUGUGGAAUUGGGUACAAGCAAAUGAAUCAACCCAGUGUCUGCAGGGUAAAGAGGGACUGGAACUAGAGGUCUUUUUUCUCUUGCAACACAGAGUUGAGCUAGUCUUGGAAUUUGUUUAUCUCUGGAAAGGUUAUAAAUUACUAGAUCAGGGGUUUCAUCAACUUGUCUUGGAAAUCCAAUUUUUACUAAUUUUCUCAUUUCUUCUAUCAAUGGCUAAAUGCCUUUGUUCUUAGAACAACACACAUGAUAAGGUUCUUUAGUGUUUCAAUGAUAACAUUCCUUUCUCCUUCCAGAGAUGACUUUUUCUCCCUUUCUUGGCCCCAUUAUCUCACCUUUUCCUCUCCAUGACCCACCAUCGCCUUCUCAGACUUCUGUUCUGAGACAGUCUGUUCCCAGGCUAGGGGUCUAAUCAGAGCUGUAACUGCCAGCCUACACCACAGUUGCAGCAACGCGGGAUCCAAGCCUCGUCUGUGACCACAGCUCACCACAAUGCUGGAUCCUUAACCCACUGAACGAGGCCAGGGAUCAAACCUGCAACCUCAUGGUUCUUAGUCGGAUUUGUUAAUCACUGAGCCACUAUGGGAACUCCUGAAAUUUACAUUUUAAUACUGCUUUUUUUUCUGUGUUCCAAAUUAAAGCCAUUCUCUUUCUUCUCACAAAACAAUCGACAAAACACCAAGCAGAAAUAGUGUGCUUUUUUCUCUUUUUUCAGCCAUACCCAGGACAUGUGGAAGUUCCCAGGUGGGGAUUGAAUCUGCGCCUCUGCAGCCGCCAGAGCCGCUGCAGAGACAACAUUGGAUCCUUAACCCACUGUGCCAUAGUAGGAACUCCUAGAUUGCUUUUUUACUGUCACUUUUUGGAAAAGGAAAUCAUGCCACAUGCAGCCUCAGCAAAGGCCAUUCGGUGUAGCCCUUCCUUCUCAUGCUUGCAUAGGCUUGCGUUUCUCCCCCAGAAGAGCGUAAGAAAUACAGCACUUAAAAAAAAAAAAGCCUGUAAACCUGGCCACUAGGUGAUGUCACUCCGCAUCUUUAAAGGUGUGUUCAAGUCACCUGUUUGCCAACUGGUGGGGAACUAAGAUGAGCAGGGCCAAUUCCCACCUGGGGAAGCUGCAGUGUGACAGGAGCACUCAGAGCUGUUCCCAUCUGUCCCUUUGUCUUACUUCUCGCCCAGGGCUCUUGGAUGUGUCAUUUACUCACCUCAAAGUGUUUAGCAUUCAACACACUUUCAGCAGAAUGGCCUUCUGAGGGCUAAAACUGAGAGAUACUUGCUUGGUUUCUUUGCGUCCAGUUGUGUGGCAGAGAGAGAAACCCAGAUGUUACUAGUCCAUUUCUAAACCAGUGGACCUCUGUUUCUUUCAUAUAGCCAUUUUAGAAUUUGAACAUCCCCCAUUUUCUAGUGUAGACGACACAAAUAUGAGUGGUAAAAAGAAAUACAAUUUUCCUUCAAACAGACUGAAUAAUCAAACCCGACGCCAACAUUUGAUCCUUCCCAUAUGAAACAUUUUUUAAUAUGGUUGAGAUGGGGAAUUAGACACCUUCCUGAUGAAAUCAGUAGAGUUGGAAAGGUAACAUCUGGAACCACAAGCUCUAGAACCAAAAAAGUCUGGGAUACCAGACCAAAACGUGAAUCUGAGAAAUUCACCAGGAAGCAACAUAAAGUCCCACUUUUGAAUUAAAAAACCAAAAACUGUACAACAUGGCAGAGAUGAAAGAGUUUCAGUUGACUAAGCUCAAUGUGAAUCAAGAAAGUGGGAUGGAACUACCCCAAAAAAACACAGUAGAUAAAUAUCAACAAGAUAGGCUACAUAAAGAGAAAAUAUUGGCAAGUCAUGUUUGUGAUUGUCUGAAGCUUUAAGAAGAAUAUUAAUAACGUAUAGCAUUCCAAUGAGCAUGGCUGAUCCUGAUGAGGGGUGCAGACUGAGAAACUGGAGAAAGGACUUUAUGGGAAUGUUUAGCACCAGAAGAGCCAUCCUAGGACCAAGAGGUAAAAGCUGCAUGGAGGCACAUCUUAGCUCUUGCACAAGUGAGAGCCUUCAGAAGGUAGCGGGCUCUGUGGCUGGUGGUGACUGACCCAUCCCUGGAGGUCUCAGCAGAUCCUUAAUGACCAUUUGUCAAGGAUGCUGGAGGGGGGAUUCAGGCACCCAGCUCGGGCAACAGGACCUGCGAUUCUUUCCAAGUCCAGGCUUUGUCCACUCUAUAAGUAGAAGAGCUUUAAUGAUUUGCCUGGUCUGGGAUGGCAGGUAUACAGCGUGUGUCCUUCCCGUUUCUAUGACUACCACUCUAAGCCCAGCAGUGUAUUUCCCCCCCCACCCCCCACACACACACACCAAGCUGAACGUGGCUUCAUACCUUAUGGAAGCACUAGCCAAUUGGCAAGAGCUGCAUUGUCGGCAUAGAUGAGUAAUCAAGCAUCCCUGCCCAGGAUCACACAUCUUGAUGGGGGUGGAGCCUUGACUAGACUAGAAAACACCAUCUCUCUUUCCCAACUCACUUUGCUUUCCUGCAUCUUUGCUGGAGCAAGCUUAGCCUCUCCACCCUGAACCACCCCACACCCCUGAUUCUUUGUCUUCAGUGGGUAACAGUGGGGGACGCCAUCGUGCUGAGGAAAAGCGUGCCCAGCCAGCUUUCUCAGCAUCUUCCAGACCUUGAGCCCUUUGCCUCAGUGAGAGGAAAGCCAUUCUGUUACGUAAACUUAAUAUCCAUCCGCCUGGACCCCCAAGCCCCCACCAUCCAGUUUGACGGAAGGAUAUACUUUGUUAUAACUUAUUAUUUUUUUCUUUGUAAAUACAAGAUGUUUAUAGGAAAUGUGUAUUCUGAAUUCUACAGGCGGAAUGAGUCACUACACCAAAAUAGUUCUAUUAUUUAGAAUAUGUUAAUUUUAAAGGGACCUGAUAGGUAUUUAUUUACGUAUGCGAUCCACAUUUGUGUAAAAUUAUUUGAUCCUACUAACCAAGCUUCCUGGAAAGUUGCUGCACACGAUGUCUUAUUUUAUGUCCAUAAUUACAAUUUAGUAUCCUGACUAGCCAAAUUCCUUGGGUUUUAAGAUUGAAUAUAAAUUACUCUGCUUUUCGACUCAUCGGGGGGCUUUCACCCCUGGCAUUGCACCUGAAACAGGUCUGUCUGGAUUGCCACCAUUCCACCUUAAAUAUUAUAUUUGCUCAUAUAAUCUGCCCUCUCCCUGGCCCCAACAUUUGGAGAAGGAAGGGUCUCUUUUGCCCCUUCUCUUUGUAUCGCUUCGUUCGUUAGAAUCACCAGCAGUAACUCGCCAGGGAGGUUUGCUUAGAGCUGUGAAGGAGCCGGGGUCCCCUGGCAGGGGCAGAGAGGGACUAUGGGAUGUAGCCCGUUCACUGCUCUGACCACGCCUCCUGGGUCCCCACAGACUGACCGACUGCUGGCUGGGGGCGCUGGGUGGUCAACUGCACAGCCGCAAGCAAGGAACCCACAGAAUAUGCCAUCUACCCCAGGUCACCUUUGUGCUGUCACUGAGUGCUUAAGGAGGUGGCGGGUAGAAGGCGAAUUAUAUGAGUAAAUACAGUGUUUUCAGCAAAAAUGACAACUAUUUUUGUGUACGACUAAUUUAUUUUUAUUAUUGUAAAAAUACAAUAAACGGGUUU
rnacentral:lncRNA from 1 species